rnacentral:rRNA from 1 species
UACGGGGGGAGCAAGCGUUGUUCGGAUUUACUGGGCGUAAAGGGCGCGUAGGCGGCCGAUCAAGUCAGGCGUGAAAUUCCCGGGCUCAACCUGGGGGCUGCGCUUGAUACUGAUUGGCUUGAAUGCGGGAGAGGAUAGUGGAAUUCCCAGUGUAGAGGUGAAAUUCGUAGAUAUUGGGAAGAACACCGGUGGCGAAGGCGGCUAUCUGGCCCGUAAUUGACGCUGAGGCGCGAAAGCGUGGGGAGCAAACAGG